rnacentral:rRNA from 1 species
CGGAGGGAUCAUUAAAGAGUUCUAUAACUCCCAAACCCAUGUGAACAUACCUAACGUUGCCUCGGCAGGUCGCACCUACCUUGUAGCACCCUACCCUGUAGGGCCUACCCGGGAGGUGCGGGUAAGCCUGCCGGCGGCCCACCAAACUCUGUUUGAUAUUGAAUUCUGAACCUAUAACUAAAUAAGUUAAAACUUUCAACAACGGAUCUCUUGGUUCUGGCAUCGAUGAAGAACGCAGCGAAAUGCGAUAAGUAAUGUGAAUUGCAGAAUUCAGUGAAUCAUCGAAUCUUUGAACGCAUAUUGCGCCCAUUAGUAUUCUAGUGGGCAGGACCGUUCGAGCGUCAUUUCAACCCUUAAGCCUUCGUUGCUUAGUGUUGGGAGCCUACGGCAACGUAGCUCCUCAAAGUUAGUGGCGGAGUUGGUUCACACUCUAGACGUAGUAAUUUUUUAUCUCGCCUAUUAGUUGGACUAAUCCCCUGCCGUAAAACCCCCAAUCUAUAUCAAGGUUGACCUCGAAUCGGUUCAGACAAACUCGCUAAAUUGAAGCAUCUUAGUCAGCGAAGGAAAAGAAACCAACAGGGAUUGCCCUAGUAACGGCGAGUGAAGCGGCAACAGCUCAAAUUUGAAAUCUGGC